UCUCGGCAACGGAUAUCUCGGCUCACGCAUCGAUGAAGAACGUAGCAAAAUGCGAUACUUGGUGUGAAUUGCAGAAUCCCGUGAACCAUCGAGUUUUUGAACGCAAGUUGCGCCCGAAGCCAUUCGGCUGAGGGCACGUCUGCCUGGGCGUCACGCAUCGCGUC
rnacentral:rRNA from 9 species